rnacentral:rRNA from 1 species
CUAAGCAUAUCAAUAAGCGGAGGAAAAGAAACCAACAGGGAUUGCCUCAGUAACGGCGAGUGAAGCGGCAAGAGCUCAAAUUUUAAAUCUGCCUUUUAGGCCGAGUUGUAAUUUGUAGAGGAACGUUCGGUGACGUCUAGGUCCGAGUCUUCUGGAAGGAAGCGCCGAUGAGGGUGAGAGCCCCGUACGACCAACGACUUAGCCAUGUGAACGUCCUUCGAAGAGUCGAGUUGUUUGGGAAUGCAGCUCAAAGCGGGUGGUAAAUUCCAUCUAAAGCUAAAUAUUGGCCAGAGACCGAUAGCGCACAAGUAGAGUGAUCGAAAGAUGAAAAGCACUUUGGAAAGAGAGUGAAAAAGUACGUGAAAUUGUUGAAAGGGAAGCGCUCGCGACCAGACUUGAUCGUUCAGUUCAAGGGUUCUUCUGGACCCGGUACUUCUGUCUGAUCAGGCCAACAUCAGUUCGGACGGUUGGAUAAAAGCUUUGGGAACGUGGCUCCUCGGAGUGUUAUAGCCCUUUGCACAAUACAGCCAGACCGGACUGAGGAAUGCCUUUUGUAGGAUGUUGGCGUAAUGGUUGCCAGCGGCCCGUCUUGAAACACGGACCAAGGAGUCUAACAUCCAUGCGAGUGUUUGGGUGGAAAACCCGCACGCGAAAUGAAAGUGAACGGAGGUGGGAGCUUCGGCGCACCAUCGACCGAUCCUGAUGUCCUCGGAAGGAUUUGAGUACGAGCAUGGCUGUUGGGACCCGAAAGAUGAUGAACUAUGCGUGAAUAGGGCGAAGCCAGAGGAAACUCUGGUGGAGGCUCGCAGCGGUUCUGACGUGCAAAUCGAUCGUCAAAUUUGCGUAUAGGGGCGAAAGACUUAUCGAAUCAUCUAGUAGCUGGGUUCCUGCCGAAG